ACUAGUAGUUUUCAAACUGCAUUGAGGUCAUUUUGCAGGCUUUGAAGCUAAGAAGGUGUGAGCCUGGUCAGUACUUGGAUGGGAGACCUCCUGGGAAAAACUAAGGUUGCUGCUGGAC
rnacentral:rRNA from 1 species